rnacentral:rRNA from 1 species
GUGGGGAAUAUUGGACAAUGGCCGAGAGGCUGAUCCAGCCAUGCCGCGUGCGGGAGGACGGCCCUAUGGGUUGUAAACCGCUUUUGUUGGGGAGCAAUAAGUCUUACGUGUAAGAUGAUGAGAGUACCCAGCGAAUAAGCAUCGGCUAACUCCGUGCCAGCAGCCGCGGUAAUACGGAGGAUGCGAGCGUUAUCCGGAUUUAUUGGGUUUAAAGGGUGCGUAGGCGGGCUGUUAAGCGUGAGGUGAAAGCUCGGGGCUCAACCCCGGAACUGCCUCGCGAACUGGCGGUCUUGAAUGUCCGUGCCGUGGGAGGAAUGUGUGGUGUAGCGGUGAAAUGCAUAGAGAUCACACAGAACACCGAUUGCGAAGGCAUCUCACGAACGGAUGAUUGACGCUGAGGCACGAAAGCGUGGGGAUCAAACAGG